rnacentral:rRNA from 1 species
AGCAGCCGCGGUAAUUCCAGCUCCAAUAGCGUAUAUUAAAGUUGUUGUGGUUAAAAAGCUCGUAGUUGAACCUUGGGCCUGGCUGGCCGGUCCGCCUCACCGCGUGUACUGGUCCGGCCGGGCCUUUCUCUCUGUGGAACCCCAUGCCCUUCACUGGGUGUGGCGGGGAAGCAGGACUUUUACUUUGAAAAAAUUAGAGUGCUCCAGGCAGGCCUAUGCUCGAAUACAUUAGCAUGGAAUAAUAGAAUAGGACGUGUGGUUCUAUUUUGUUGGUUUCUAGGACCGCCGUAAUGAUUAAUAGGGACAGUCGGGGGCAUCAGUAUUCAAUUGUCAGAGGUGAAAUUCUUGGAUUUAUUGAAGACUAACUACUGCGAAAGCAUUUGCCAAGGAUGUUUUCAUUAAUCAGGAACGAAAGUUAGGGGAUCGAAGACGAUCAGAUACCGUCGUAGUCUUAACCAUAAACUAUGCCGACUAGGGAUCGGACGAUGUUAUUUAUUGACUCGUUCGGCACCUUACGGGA